UACGGGGGGGGCAAGCGUUGUUCGGAAUUAUUGGGCGUAAAGGGUGCGUAGGUGGCGCCGUAAGUCAGGUGUGAAAUUUCGGAGCUUAACUCCGAAACUGCAUUUGAUACUGCGGUGCUUGAGGACUGGAGAGGAGACUGGAAUUCACGGUGUAGCAGUGAAAUGCGUAGAUAUCGUGAGGAAGACCAGUGGCGAAGGCGGGUCUCUGGACAGUUCCUGACACUGAGGCACGAAGGCCAGGGGAGCAAACGGG
rnacentral:rRNA from 1 species